UCGGCGGGGACAAGAGUCACGUCAAGUGGUCGCCGCCGUAUCUGGAGUGCGAGGACGGGAGUUACAGACCCGGGUGGCUGGUCACUCUUUCCGCCGCCUUCUACGGGUUGCAGCCUAAUCUGGUCCCCGAAUUCAGGGGAGUCAUGAAAGUUGAUAUAAAUCUUCAGAAAGUGGACAUUGACCAAUGUUCAAGUGAUGGCUGGUUUUCAGGAACUCACAAAUGCCACCUUAACAGUUCAGAGUGCAUGCCGAUUAAAGGCCUGGGGUUUGUCCUGGGAGCCUACGAGUGCAUCUGCAAGGCGGGCUUCUAUCACCCUCGGGUCUUGGUGAACAACUUUCACAGUAAGUGUGCUUCGUUUCUGUGCAUGUGAGCGUACACACCUAACACAUACCACCGACCACCGU
rnacentral:lncRNA from 1 species